rnacentral:rRNA from 1 species
AUUGAACGCUGGCGGAAUGCUUUACACAUGCAAGUUGAACGGGGGAUAAUUAGAAGCUUGCUUUUGAAUAUCCUUAGUAGCGAACGGGUGAGUAACGCGUAGACAACCAACCUCAUAGAAGGGGACAACACCGAGAAAUUGGUGCUAAUACCGUAUGUUGUGCCGGAGACGAAUGUUUCUGGUACUAAAGAUGGCUGAGCUUGAUGCUAUCGCUAUGAGACGGGUCUGCGUAUGAUUAGCUAGUUGGAGUGGUAACGGCACACCAAGGCGAUGAUCAUUAGCCGGUCUGAGAGGAUGAACGGCCACACUGGAACUGAGACACGGUCCAGACUCCUACGGGAGGCAGCAGUGGGGAAUUUUGGACAAUGGGCGAAAGCCUGAUCCAGCCAUUCCGCGUGCAGGAUGAAGGCCCUCGGGUUGUAAACUGCUUUUGUACAGAACGAAAAGCUCUUUCUAAUACAGAGAGUCCAUGACGGUA